rnacentral:lncRNA from 1 species
UUUCUAAAUUAGAAAAUUUAUUUUCUAUUAGAAACCCUAGUUAGUGGGUUAUAAACCCUAAGGGUUAAAAAGUUGUGUGUAAGGAAUAUGAACAUUAUGUGAUGGUUUAUAUUUAUUUAUUAUAUAAACAAACAAAAGAAAUUAGUGUAAACCUAAUUAUAUAUUAGGAAUGAAGGAUUUAAUAACUUAAGGGUUAUGGAAAAAGAGAAUUGUGGUAUUUAGAAUACUUACUAAUUCUAGGAGAUUUAUUUUAUAUAUCUCAAAUGAUUAAUUUUAUAACCUAAUUAUAGCAAGUCUAAUUGGGUUAAGGAAAUAAGUGUGCAUAAGCAAGGAUUUGUGUUAUAAUUGAGGAAAUGAAAACCCUAAUUAAAUGAAUUGGGGUGGAUAAGAAUUUAGGUAAUUGGACUAUGUAUAUUUU